rnacentral:rRNA from 1 species
UACGUAGGGUGCGAGCGUUAAUCGGAAUUACUGGGCGUAAAGCGUGCGCAGGCGGUUCGUUAAGUUCGAUGUGAAAGCCCCCGGGCUCAACCUGGGAACUGCAUUGGAAACUGGCGAGCUUGAAUGCGGCAGAGGGGGGUGGAAUUCCGCGUGUAGCAGUGAAAUGCGUAGAGAUGCGGAGGAACACCGAUGGCGAAGGCAGCCCCCUGGGCCGACAUUGACGCUCAGGCACGAAAGCGUGGGGAGCAAACAGG